GGUAUCAGAAGUGCGAAUGCUGACAUAAGUAACGAUAAAGCGGGUGAAAAGCCCGCUCGCCGGAAGACCAAGGGUUCCUGUCCAACGUUAAUCGGGGCAGGGUGAGUCGACCCCUAAGGCGAGGCCGAAAGGCGUAGUCGAUGGGAAACGGGUUAAUAUUCCCGUACUUGGUGUUACUGCGAAGGGGGGACGGAGAAGGCUAUGUUGGCCGGGCGACGGUUGUCCCGGUUUAAGCGUGUAGGUGUGUGUUCCAGGUAAAUCCGGUUCACUUUAACACUGAGGCGUGACGACGAGGCACUACGGUGCUGAAGCAACAAAUGCCCUGCUUCCAGGAAAAGCCUCUAAGCAUCAGGUAACAUCAAAUCGUACCCCAAACCGACACAGGUGGUCAGGUAGAGAAUACCAAGGCGCUUGAGAGAACUCGGGUGAAGGAACUAGGCAAAAUGGUGCCGUAACUUCGGGAGAAGGCACGCUGACACGUAGGUGAAGUGAUUUACUCAUGGAGCUGAAGUCAGUCGAAGAUACCAGCUGGCUGCAACUGUUUAUUAAAAACACAGCACUGUGCAAACACGAAAGUGGACGUAUACGGUGUGACGCCUGCCCGGUGCCGGAAGGUUAAUUGAUGGGGUCAGCGCAAGCGAAGCUCCUGAUCGAAGCCCCGGUAAACGGCGGCCGUAACUAUAACGGUCCUAAGGUAGCGAAAUUCCUUGUCGGGUAAGUUCCGACCUGCACGAAUGGCGUAAUGAUGGCCAGGCUGUCUCCACCCGAGACUCAGUGAAAUUGAACUCGCUGUGAAGAUGCAGUGUACCCGCGGCAAGACGGAAAGACCCCGUGAACCUUUACUAUAGCUUGACACUGAACAUUGAGCCUUGAUGUGUAGGAUAGGUGGGAGGCUUUGAAGCGUGGACGCCAGUCUGCGUGGAGCCAACCUUGAAAUACCACCCUUUAAUGUUUGAUGUUCUAACGUGGACCCGUGAUCCGGGUUGCGGACAGUGUCUGGUGGGUAGUUUGACUGGGGCGGUCUCCUCCUAAAGAGUAACGGAGGAGCACGAAGGUUGGCUAAUCCUGGUCGGACAUCAGGAGGUUAGUGCAAUGGCAUAAGCCAGCUUGACUGCGAGCGUGACGGCGCGAGCAGGUGCGAAAGCAGGUCAUAGUGAUCCGGUGGUUCUGAAUGGAAGGGCCAUCGCUCAACGGAUAAAAGGUACUCCGGGGAUAACAGGCUGAUACCGCCCAAGAGUUCAUAUCGACGGCGGUGUUUGGCACCUCGAUGUCGGCUCAUCACAUCCUGGGGCUGAAGUAGGUCCCAAGGGUAUGGCUGUUCGCCAUUUAAAGUGGUACGCGAGCUGGGUUUAGAACGUCGUGAGACAGUUCGGUCCCUAUCUGCCGUGGGCGCUGGAGAACUGAGGGGGGCUGCUCCUAGUACGAGAGGACCGGAGUGGACGCAUCACUGGUGUUCGGGUUGUCAUGCCAAUGGCACUGCCCGGUAGCUAAAUGCGGAAGAGAUAAGUGCUGAAAGCAUCUAAGCACGAAACUUGCCCCGAGAUGAGUUCU
rnacentral:rRNA from 1 species